GAUGAACGCUGGCGGCGUGCCUAACACAUGCAAGUCGAACGGAGCUGCUUUGAUGAAGUUUUCGGAUGGAUUUAAAACAGCUUAGUGGCGGACGGGUGAGUAACGCGUGGGUAACCUGCCUUAUACAGGGGGAUAACAGUUGGAAACGACUGCUAAUACCGCAUAAGCGCACGGUAUCGCAUGAUACAGUGUGAAAAACUCCGGUGGUAUAAGAUGGACCCGCGUCUGAUUAGCUUGUUGGUGAGGUAACGGCCCACCAAGGCGACGAUCAGUAGCCGGCCUGAGAGGGUGAACGGCCACAUUGGGACUGAGACACGGCCCAAAACUCCUACGGGAGGCAGCAGUGGGGAAUAUUGCACAAUGGGGGAAACCCUGAUGCAGCGACGCCGCGUGAGUGAUGAAGUAUUUCGGUAUGUAAAACUCUAUCAGCAGGGAAGAUAAUGACGGUACCUGACUAAGAAGCACCGGCUAAAUACGUG
rnacentral:rRNA from 1 species